rnacentral:rRNA from 1 species
GAUGAACGCUGGCGGCGUGCCUAAUACAUGCAAGUCGAGCGAACAGAUAAGGAGCUUGCUCCUUUGACGUUAGCGGCGGACGGGUGAGUAACACGUGGAUAACCUACCUAUAAGACUGGGAUAACUUCGGGAAACCGGAGCUAAUACCGGAUAACAUAUUGAACCGCAUGGUUCAAUAGUGAAAGGCGGCUUUGCUGUCACUUAUAGAUGGAUCCGCGCCGUAUUAGCUAGUUGGUAAGGUAACGGCUUACCAAGGCAACGAUACGUAGCCGACCUGAGAGGGUGAUCGGCCACACUGGAACUGAGACACGGUCCAGACUCCUACGGGAGGCAGCAGUAGGGAAUCUUCCGCAAUGGGCGAAAGCCUGACGGAGUAACGCCGCGUGAGUGAUGAAGGUCUUCGGAUCGUAAAACUCUGUUAUCAGGGAAGAACAAAUGUGUAAGUAACUGUGCACAUCUUGACGGUACCUGAUCAGGAAGCCACGGCUAACUACGUG